rnacentral:rRNA from 1 species
AGCAGUAGGGAAUCUUCCACAAUGGACGCAAGUCUGAUGGAGCAACGCCGCGUGAGUGAAGAAGGCUUUCGGGUCGUAAAACUCUGUUGUUGGAGAAGAAUGGUCGGCAGAGUAACUGUUGUCGGCGUGACGGUAUCCAACCAGAAAGCCACGGCUAACUACGUGCCAGCAGCCGCGGUAAUACGUAGGUGGCAAGCGUUAUCCGGAUUUAUUGGGCGUAAAGCGAGCGCAGGCGGUUUUUUAAGUCUGAUGUGAAAGCCCUCGGCUUAACCGAGGAAGUGCAUCGGAAACUGGAA